rnacentral:lncRNA from 1 species
ACAAGGAACUAGCUGUGAUCUCUGCCAUUCAUCAAGCAGGUGGAAAGCAGGAGUUGCCAUGGUGACACCCAAACAAAAAGUUUAAAGAACCCAGAUACCACAGUCCUGCAGCUCAAGUCCUGAACUCAGAAUCCACAAGCAAGCCAUGAUAGCGCAAUCAUGGGUCCUUUGUCCAGGGCAAGUCAGAGAUUUCCAUAUGUGGACUGACUCCACAGGGCCCAAGAGUUGGAGACUGCAAAGAAGAAUCCCGGAGAAAGUGACUCCAGGUAGACCUUUGCCUGACUAUCAACAGUACCUUCACAGGCUGCUGGGCUCAGAAAUGGCCUCUUAUUUCUUGCAUCCAAAGGCCAAGGAGCAGCCAGUGAGCCCUCGAGUGCGGCGCCUGCUGCUGGCUGGUCUAGAAGUGAGUGCUGAGGAGGUUUGGAGGGGCCUACAUGAGGAACCCAAGCGCCAACGUGAGGUUGCAGCAGCUAAGAAGGGCCUUUCACUUUCUGAGCAGGUACCCUGGAUGGGACAACCUGCUACUAUACAUCGGUUGCAGCAAGUGGGUUGCUGGCGGCAACAGCUGCAGACAAUGCACCACCUUGGGAAGCAACGCCAGUGUACAACAAGCCAUCUCCUGGCUACCAAGCACCUCACUGACCUCAGUGACCCCUGUGGAACCGAAGGAUCAACCCGCUUCCUUCAUGGCACCUUGGAUAAGAAGAAGGUGCCUUGAGUGUCAAUAGUUCAGGGGCAGAGCAGGUAGGAAGGCUACUGUCAAGGGUGUCACCAGUGUGCUGCAGAGUGUGUGACUUUGUGGCAGACCUCACAACCACUACGACAACUGGCCACAUUUUGGACUUAUUUGCUCCUCUCUCACUCUCUAACUUUUUAUAUCACCUUAUCUGAUGAACAGUUUGAACAACCCAAAAGCUUUUGUACCAUUUUAUUGUUCUUGUUAUCUGCUGCCAAAUCGCUUCUGACUUAUGGCGACCCUAUGAAUUCGUGACUUGCAAAAAGUCCCAUCAUUUCCAGCCUUGCUGUGGCAUUUUAGAUGGCCCUGAUACAGGUUUAUCUGCCUAUAUUCUUGUUUUGUGCUUUUCUCAUGGACCAACAUGUUGGGGAAAUCCAGAUGUCUCUCUUCCCUUACACUGUGCACUGCUAUUGCCCAAAAUAAAUCAUUUUCUUAUGACUGAAGUCA